UCCAAAUAGGCACUAAAUCCAAUGACGUGUCAUUAUAAGAGAGUGGCAGGAGAUUCAAGAUACACAGGGAAGUAGGUAAGGGUGAAGAUGGAGCCAGAGGUUGGAGUGAUACGGCCACAAGCCAAAGGAACACCUGGAUCCACCAGAAGCUGGAAGAAGCAAGGAAGGAUUAUCCCCUAGAGCCUUCGCAGGGAGCUUGGAACUGCUGACACCUUGAUUUCUGAUUUCUGGCCUCCAGAACUGCCUUUAGAGUGUGAUCCCAUUUGAUGGCUAUGACAACCUUGUGAAGCAGGUACUUCCCUCACUCCUGUUGUACGAUGGAGCUGGCUCAGACAUUCAGCAGUGAAAGCCUGGUUGCUCAGCUCUGCCUCCCAUGUUCCUUCUCUUUUCUCUCCACAGCCAAUCUGGUCAAUUCCCUUCCUGAGCAUUUCUCUCACGCGGUGCACUCCAUGGAUGUGGUGGUCCCUUUCCUUUGUCUCCCAUUUGCACACACAAGCAUUUCUCCUGUUAAUGCUGUGAUGCACGUCACUGUCAACGGGUACCUUCAAUGCCAUGUUGCUGAUUCUCUCUUUCUUCCUGAAAAAAUUUGAAGAUCACAGUGCUUGAGAAAGUGUAGAUCCAACAUCCAAACAUAGUUGCCAUUGGGAAGGAACUGCCUUUAGCUUCUGUGAACAGAGGAGUCUCUUCUGAGGUAGGGAUGGGAGUUCAGGACUCUGAGAAGAUAACAUGUCAUAAUUUCCACUGGGUUCUCUGUUGAAAUGUUUCUUUAGUACAAGCUGAGGCAAAUCACUUCCCCUCUCUGAAUUUCAGUGUCCUCAUCUCUCGAGUGAAGAGAAUGAUAAUGUGGUCCCAGGAGCCUUUCCUUUACUACAGAGGAGGCACCAGCAGGGGAACUCUCUUGGCACACAGUUGGAGUCCUCAGAAAAUGUUGAUUCUCAUGGACUCUUCUCUGUCUCUUCAAGGAGCCUCUUUCAGGAGGGGGCCUGGCUUCCAUCUGCUUUCUGACAUACUUUGCAUGGAGAUCUGCCCUCUCCUGCCAGGCUGUGCUCACACCAAUACCAAGAGAUCACGAGACGCCCUGCCAGCAAAUGCCCUGGAAGCACAUCCCCUUCAUGCCCCUGGCAGUCAUCUAAUGUACACACAAGAUCAAAGCAGCUCUCAGGUGGCCUGUUGCAGGGCACAGCACAGUUCUGCCUAUGCCAAGGCAGAUGCUGGGCCCUUCCCUAUUGUGUUCAGCACACACCCAUUCUCCAGGGCACCUUUUCUGGGCAUUAAUUUAUCCAGUCAGUUAAUAUGGAUUGCACAGCCUGCUAUAUGCCAGGUACCAUGUGGACCCCAUCACCCGUACCCAAUGCAGGCCCCUCUAGUGGGCAACCCUUGCUCCACACCUCCCUGUUGGGCUGCUCGAGACUGUCAGGUCGGGCUCAACCUGCUCUCCAGCCCUGUUUCCUUCCUAUCCCUUUCCUGAGUGUUAGUUAGCCCCAGUAAAUCUUUGGCCCUGCCAACUCCCUCUCAUGGUCUGCUUCCUGGAGGACACAAUCUGAGACAGUGGGUUCCAGAGUGGUCUGAGAAAGCAGGUGGUAAAAUGGGGUCUUGGUACAGGAUUGCCCCGCAUCUGCCCAACUGGCAACAAGGUUCCCAUCUUCGGGAGUAGGUGGCACGCAGGCGGCUCCAGGCACAAGAUGGCAGGCUAGUUGCCAGACCUUUGGUGUUAGAACUUUUGCUGGGAUGGCCGGCUUGUGGAGAGGAAGUUCCUGGCAGGUGAGGAGAUCCAGGCAGGGCGGAUGCCUGGAAAUGAAAACUCAGAGAACAGACAGUGGUGAGUAUGUUUCCUGGAUGACCCACAGGGGAUUAAUGAGAGACCAAGAGCAAUUAACAAACAUCUAAAAAUUAACCAGAAACACUGGAGUCUUCCUGGUGGUUUACAAAGUAGCCCCCGAUCCAGGCAAUGGGCGAGCAGCAAAGUCUGAAGAACAAACCCAGGACUUGCUAAGGUGGCUGAACUCCAAAGACAGGUGAACGCUCAGCCAAGGCAGGUCUGUCAUGCCAAUGACACCAGCCCUGUUGGGAAAACCUGCGUCCCUGAUACAUGGAACAGGCACAUCUAGAAGGUCUCUGAAUAUCUGGUCUCCCCAGAUGCCCUUGAAACUUCUGAGCCCGCAGCAUCAGCCCACCCCCUCCCAUGAAGCGCUGCAGGCACCCUAUCCCGAAGGAGAAAUAAAUAACACAAGAAUUUUCCCCACAGGUGUCCUCCCUCCCAGGAGUGGCCCUCACCUUAUCACUGGCUGCCAGGUAGGGUGACCAACAGUCCCAGUUUGCUGAGUGAAUUGCAGUGCUAAAAGCCGGCAAGUCCCAGGGAAGCAGGAGGAAUUGGUGAGCUGACUGCCAGACCCGUGACCAGAGUGAAGGUGCAGCGCAGCGCCAUGCAGGCAGGGUGUGCUGGGUAAUUUGGAGUGCUUAGGUGAAUACUGAGUCCAAAACAGCCCUGCAAAGACACAGAAGAACAAGCCCCUGUGCGGACGAGGUCUCUGUAAUCCCAGCACUCAGGAGGCUGAGGAAGGAGAAUCGCUUGAGCCCAGAAGGCAGAGGUAGUGGUGAGCCGAGAUUGCACCAGCCUGGGCAACAAGAGCAAAACUCCGUCUCAUCUCCAGCAUUUCUGCUUCCUCAAGCUUCUCCAGGGAGAAGUAGGCGCAUCUCACUGAGGGAAGAAAGACAGAGGACUCCAGGUUGCUCAGGAGGCUCAUGGAACAGUGCAGGCUCCAGACCACGAGGCCUGAAUUCUGGAAGUAGCAGCGGGGAUGCAGGACGAGGAGCCGUUUUGUCUCAUCAGGCACUCCAGAGGCAGGGACCCAGAACUUGGUUAUGAAGUCAAUGCGGGAGACUGCAAAAGAGGCGUUAAAAAAACGGUCCCUCUGGACCCCACUGGCAGGCACUGACGGAGCGGCCAGGACACAGGAGAGCAGGCCUGGGGGGCUCAGCCCUGCAAGACUCAGCCUAGAGCUGCAUGGACCCCAGUCAAGUGUUCCCGCCCUUCUUGCUGCUUCUGUGCCCUCUGGGGGAAGACACUGGAGGUGCAGUUAGGUCGCCGCGGGAAAGUUUGGACUCUUGCCUGGUGGUCUCGUCCCGCCCCUCCUCUUCCUCCCUCCGGUUCCUUUUCCUCCUUCCGGUUCUUGGUCUAGGCUGCCUGUCUCGAGCUCCCCGGCCUUGUCCUGGUUGGCUGGCGCGGGACAGGAUCCGGUAAACUGAACAGCGUCUCCUUGUGGCAAGU
rnacentral:lncRNA from 1 species